GUCCACGCCGUAAACGUUGGGCGCUAGGUGUGGGGCUCAUUCCACGAGUUCCGUGCCGCAGCUAACGCAUUAAGCGCCCCGCCUGGGGAGUACGGCCGCAAGGCUAAAACUCAAAGGAAUUGACGGGGGCCCCGCACAAGCGGCGGAGCAUGUUGCUUAAUUCGAUGCAACGCGAAGAACCUUACCUAGGCUUGACAUGCACGGAAAUCCUCCAGAGAUGGUGGGUCCGUAAGGGUCGUGCACAGGUGGUGCAUGGUUGUCGU
rnacentral:rRNA from 1 species